rnacentral:rRNA from 1 species
UGCGUAGGUGGUUUCUUAGGUCAGAGGGGAAAGGCUACGGCUCAACCGUAGUAAGCCUUUGAAACUGGGAAACUUGAGUGCAGGAGAGGAGAGUGGAAUUCCUAGUGUAGCGGUGAAAUGCGUAGAUAUUAGGAGGAACACCAGUUGCGAAGGCGGCUCUCUGGACUGUAACUGACACUGAGGCACGAAAGCGUGGGGAGCAAACA